rnacentral:rRNA from 1 species
UACGUAGGGUGCAAGCGUUGUCCGGAAUUAUUGGGCGUAAAGAGCUCGUAGGCGGUUUGUCGCGUCGGCCGUGAAAUCUCCACGCUUAACGUGGAGCGUGCGGUCGAUACGGGCAGACUUGAGUUCGGUAGGGGAGACUGGAAUUCCUGGUGUAGCGGUGAAAUGCGCAGAUAUCAGGAGGAACACCGGUGGCGAAGGCGGGUCUCUGGGCCGGAACUGACGCUGAGGCGCGAAAGCGUGGGGAGCAAACAGG